AACGGAGGAUGCCAGCGUUAUCCGGAAUGAUUGGGCGUAAAGCGUCCGCAGGUGGCUAGACAAGUCCGCUGUCGAAGCGUGAGGCUUAACCUCAUACAGGCAGAAGAAACUGACCCGCUAGAGGGUGGUAGGGGUAGAGGGAAUUCCCAGUGCAGCGGUGAAAUGCGUAGAUAUUGGGAAGAACACCAGUGGCGAAAGCGCUCUACUGGUCCACACCUGACACUGAGGGACGAAAGCUAGGGGAGCGAAAGGC
rnacentral:rRNA from 1 species